rnacentral:sRNA from 1 species
AUUAUAGAUAUGUCAAUUAUAUUUAGAAUCGAAAUUUAUUUUCUUUCAUAUCUCCACAGCUUGUGUCCUUUAUGACCGUUAAUCUUUACCGCUAAUUUUUGAUUUAUUCAUAAUGGUAAGAUUAUUUUUUUGCUUUUUAUUUGAUAAUAAAGCAGAUGAUAUGGUAUGAUGACAAUUUUUAUAUACCUUCUAUU